UCGACCACCGAAGACGUUCUUUGGCGGAGACGGAUUGGCGGCAGCGAGAAGGCAGUGCAGGUGUGCGAGUUACUUUCAGGCUUUGAAAAACCUGACAAUGAAUUAUUCUGGCUGAGUUCUGUCGCUUAUCAAGCAAAAAUCUGAGUUGCAAUCAGAGUUCUUCAAAGAUCUCGACAAAUACACUCCUCGCUUCCUGGAGAAGUUCAAGACCCAGAGGGGGAAAGUGUCGGACAGAAACUUGAAUAUCUGCAACAAGUCAAACCUGGGAGUACAGAUGUGACUGGGAGGUGAACAGCAGUCCUCCGUGGCUCUCCCGUCAUCCUUGGAGAUGACAACGCAGACUUCUUCAAGAAUUUGACUCUGAUGACCUUCUGGACGUGUCCCACGCCUCCAUUGGGACCCUGACGGUGCUGAAGACAUCGUGGCCUCCUCACUCGCUGGACCUGGAGUCUACAACUACUGCCAUCGUUUUGGGAGGAGCAGUCGUGAUGGGUGACCGUGAUAAUCUUCCCCGUGCCGUGUGGCUA